rnacentral:snoRNA from 1 species
GUCUGCAGUACUUCAUAGAAUCAUUUCUAUAGUAUACGUCCUCUUCUGAGCUCCUUACCAGAGCCACAGAAUCUCCAACCUGGCUGAUGAUCCGUAUCCUCGGCGCCCAAGAGUGAGAAUUUUGCUCCUGCUUCGGCGGGAGUGGCGAUGAUCUCGACUCUGCCGUGCUUCGACUUCGGUCUGGCCGGUAGAGUGGGCGCUGAUGGAAUUCUGACAGGC